rnacentral:rRNA from 1 species
CGCGUAGGCGGUUAUAUAAGUCGGGUGUGAAAGCCCCGGGCUCAACCUGGGAACUGCAUUCGAUACUGUAUAGCUUGAGUUUGGUAGAGGGGAGUGGAAUUCCACAUGUAGCGGUGAAAUGCGUAGAUAUGUGGAGGAACACCAGUGGCGAAGGCGACUCCCUGGCCCAAAACUGACGCUGAGGUGCGAAAGCGUGGGUAGCAAACA